GAUGAACGCUGGCGGCGUGCCUAAUACAUGCAAGUCGAGCGAACGGACGAGAAGCUUGCUUCUCUGAUGUUAGCGGCGGACGGGUGAGUAACACGUGGAUAACCUACCUAUAAGACUGGGAUAACUUCGGGAAACCGUAGCUAAUACCGGAUAAUAUUUUGAACCGCAUGGUUCAAAAGUGAAAGACGGUCUUUCUGUCACUUAUAGAUGGAUCCGCGCUGCAUUAGCUAGUUGGUAAGGUAACGGCUUACCAAGGCAACGAUGCAUAGCCGACCUGAGAGGGUGAUAGGCCACACGGGAGCGGAGACACGGUCCAGACUCCUACGGGAGGCAGCAGUAGCGAAUCUUCCGCAAUGGGCGAAAGCCUGACGGAGCAACGCCGCGUGAGUGAUGAAGGUCUUCGGAUCGUAAAACUCUGUUAUUAGGGAAGAACAUAUGUGUAAGUAACUGUGCACAUCUUGACGGUACCUAAUCAGAAAGCCACGGCUAACAACGUG
rnacentral:rRNA from 1 species